AUUGAACGCUGGCGGCAUGCCUUACACAUGCAAGUCGAACGGUAACAGGUCUUCGGAUGCUGACGAGUGGCGAACGGGUGAGUAAUACAUCGGAACGUGCCUAGUAGUGGGGGAUAACUACUCGAAAGAGUGGCUAAUACCGCAUGAGAUCUACGGAUGAAAGCAGGGGAUCGCAAGACCUUGUGCUACUAGAGCGGCCGAUGGCAGAUUAGGUAGUUGGUGGGACAAAAGCUUACCAAGCCGACGAUCUGUAGCUGGUCUGAGAGGACGAUCAGCCACACUGGGACUGAGAAACGGCUCAGACUCCUACGGGAGGCAGCAGUGGGGAAUUUUGGACAAUGGGCGCAAGCCUGAUCCAGCAAUGCCGCGUGCAGGAUGAAGGCCUUCGGGUUGUAAACUGCUUUUGUACGGAACGAAAAGCCCCGGGUUAAUACCCUGGGGUCAUGACGGUACCGUAAGAAUAAGCACCGGCUAACUACGUGCCAGCAGCCGCCGUAA
rnacentral:rRNA from 1 species